AAGUAGGAAUCAUAUAGUCAUACUCAUAAAUCUGAGCAAAUCCUCAUAAAAAUAACUCACGAUAUCUUAAAUAAAGCAUAGAAAAUCCGCCACAAGAAUUAAUUUCAAGCAAACCUGAAACAAUCAAAGAUGCCAAAUUCAAGACAGGAGAUUUCAAAUUCAUGAUUCACGGUUUCACGUAGAGGAAAAAUGAUUUAAAUUAGAUGGUUUUGCGAGAAGAAUAUUUCAAACAGAAGGAUAAAAAUUGGAACAUAAUAUUUACGGAUUACUGGCCACUAGCGAGAGAAAAUAUUGUUACCGGAAAACUGCAGUUCCUAGAUUAAAAAAAAUCCUUCCUGCUCUCAUUCUAGUGCUGUGGUACUUUUCCCCGAAUCAGUCAAUUCAUCUACGAAAUUUUUGGCCAAGCAAUGUCAUUCAAAAGUUUCGCUUAUUUCUAUCGGCAAGUGUACCGGUUCUCAUAAACCUACUCUGGAAGUUGGAGAGCACUGUUCACGGUCUAAAUGCAGGGAAUAAGAAAGAAGACACAACACUAAAACCUAUGAAAUUUUCUUAAGUUGAAAGCAGCACUAUACAUACAAUUUCUUUGAACAAAGAAAAAGGAUUGUACCGUUUUGACACAAAUGAUAAGCCACCUUAUGCCGAAAGACCAGCGGAAUAAUGACAAUGUUGCGUAGAUAAUUUAAUAAUCUUUACAAAACCUCAUUUUUUCAAUUAAGUACCUAAUCGACUUUUAAAAAUACAAAUUUACAAAAUACAUAUUUCAACCAAUUUUUCUUAUCAAUAUCUACAUUUGAACGCUCUAGAAACUAGAAAGCCUAACUUUUGACAGUUUUGACCAUCGUCAGCUUAAAAAUAAAAACAUCUGAUGAAAACUUCAAAACUGAGUCGAAGCUUAUUUUAUGGAUAAAGGAAAAGAGUCUAUGGCCAAUAAGGAUAGAAACAGUAAAAUGUUAUUUCAAAAAACAGAAUACGUAAAUCAAGUUGUUUUUUUAUAAAUUAUAAAAUGUCAAGAUGAUGCAUCCAAUUUUUUUUUCUUUUUCUUAAAAAGCUUUUCUCACCUACUAAAAUUGAUUUUGAAAUUUUAAAAAUCAUUCCCACGCCCCCACAAUUAUGCGUUGGAAAAGAUAGU